rnacentral:lncRNA from 1 species
AUGUCUCUUUGCCGCAUGUGUGGUGGGCCCAUUGAUUUCCCGGACGCACACGAGCAGUGUGUGCUGUGCCUGGGUCGGGCUCACGCAGAGGCGGCAUUCGAAGGAUCCGGAUGUCGUGCCUGUGAGGAGCUUCCCAUCAAGAUCCUUCGUGCAAGGCUGGCCGUUACCCGUAACGGUGGCCCUGUAUCUCCUGCCUCUCCCCCGUCCGCCGCCGUCGAGCCGCGAACCGGGAGACUGCAGAGAGCUCCGUCGACGGAUUCUGUCGAGGUACUGGCGUCGGCCCAACGCCCACGCCACCCUCACGUGGAAGAUCCCCUCUCAUACUCUGAGGCCAGUUACCGCCCUCCACUAGAAGCGCGGGAAAUGGUCUCGUUUGGAUAUGACGAGGACGACGCCAUGUCUACUAAUGCCUCAGACCCGGGAGCGUGGUCCGAGGCCCCGUCUGAAGCCGCCCCCGCCUCGCUGGAUGCCGAGCUUAUGGCGAUCCUCACGGAGGCGGUGGCAGAUAUGGAACUGGAGUGGACAGCCCCCAAGGAGCUGCCGUCUAAGAGAUGGAUGGACGGUUCUUUCCUCGGCGCGGGCCGCCAGGCUGAAGCCCCGCAGAGACCCGCGCCUUUUUUCUCUGAGGUCCACGAGGAACUCACCCGGUCAUGGCGCUCCCCUUACUCAGCCCGAGCCCAUGCACAGGGGACCCAGCUGCUGACGACGGUGGAAGGGGCGGAGAAAUUGGGAUACGCGCGACCGCCUCCCGUCGAGGAUGCUAUCGCGGCCCAUCUCGCGUCUUCUCCCGGCUGGAAAACCGCCUCUUUGCCUUCUAAGCCAUGUCGAGCUACUGCUCACAUCGCUGAGAAGGCGUACAUAUCUGCUGGACAUGCAGCAUCUGCCCUCCACACGAUGGCAAUCCUGCAGGUCUUCCAAACUCUGCUCCUUGGGUCCCUGGAUGAGGGAAGCCCGGACCCAGAGUCGCUCAGGAAGCUGCGCACGGCGGCGGAUCUCGCUCUCGCGGCGUCAAAAAAGAUAGCGCAGGGAAUCGGCCGCAAUAUGAGCAGCCUUGUGGUCCUGCAUCGCCAUCUGUGGCUGACGCUGUCCGGCAUGCGCGAUGCCGAAAAGAGGCAGUUCCUGGAUGCACCGGUGAGCCCCACCGGUCUUUUCGGUGUCGCGGUGGAAUCUCUGUCGGAGAAAUACGCCGAGACCGUCAAGCAGUCUAAGAUGAUGCCUCAUCUUUUGCCGAAACGGUCUCAAGCCCCCCCUGCAGCGAGGUCCAGAUCUUCUUCGGCACAGCGACAAGCGGGAAAUACCAGGCGCGCGUUCCCGAGCGCGGCAGAGCGUCGUGAGCCAGAGCCACCAUUCCGCCAGAGGCAGCCCAGGAAGCCCCGUUUUGGUCCGAAACCGGCCUCUAGCAGCCAAGGGCGCCCGGCUGGCAAGAAGGAGCAGCGUUCCUGA